rnacentral:rRNA from 1 species
ACAACUUUCAGCAACGGAUGUCUAGGGUCUCGCAUCGAUGAAGAACGCAGCGAAAUGUGAUACGUAAUGCGAAUUGCAAAGCUUUGUGAAUCAUUGAAAUUUUGAACGCAUAUUGCGCUUGCAGGAUUUUUCCUGGGAGCAUGCAUGUCUGAGUGUC